GACGAACGCUGGCGGCGUGCUUAACACAUGCAAGUCGAACGGAAAGGCCCUGCUUUUGUGGGGUGCUCGAGUGGCGAACGGGUGAGUAACACGUGAGUAACCUGCCCUUGACUUUGGGAUAACUUCAGGAAACUGGGGCUAAUACCGGAUAGGAGCUCCUGCUGCAUGGGGGGGGAUGGAAAGUUUCGGCGGUUGGGGACGGACUCGCGGCUUAUCAGCUUGUGGGUGGGGGAGUGGCUUACCAAGGCUUUGACGGGUAGCCGGCCUGAGAGGGUGACCGGCCACAUUGGGACUGGGAAACGGCCCAGACUCCUCCGGGAGGCAGCAGUGGGGAAUUUUGCACAAUGGGCCGAAGCCUGAUGCAGCACCGCCGCGUGCGGGAUGACGGCCUUCGGUUUGUAAACCGCUUUCGCCUGUGACGAGGCGUUAGUGACGGUAAUGGGUAAAGAAGCACCGGCUAACUACGUG
rnacentral:rRNA from 1 species